rnacentral:rRNA from 1 species
CCUACGGGCGGCAGCAGUGGGGAAUAUUGGACAAUGGGGGGAACCCUGAUCCAGCCAUGCCGCGUGUGUGAAGAAGGCCCUCGGGUUGUAAAGCACUUUCAGUGAGGAAGAACGCCUGGUGGUUAAUACCCAUCAGGAAAGACAUCACUCACAGAAGAAGCACCGGCUAACUCCGUGCCAGCAGCCGCGGUAAUACGGAGGGUGCGAGCGUUAAUCGGAAUUACUGGGCGUAAAGCGCGCGUAGGUGGCUUGAUAAGCCGGUUGUGAAAGCCCCGGGCUCAACCUGGGAACGGCAUCCGGAAGUGUCUAGCUAGGGUGCAUGAGAGGAAGGUAAAAUUCCCGGUGUAGCGGUGAAAUGCGUAGAGUUCGGGAGGAAUACCAGUGGCGAAGGCGGCCUUCUGGACUGACACUGACACUGAGGUGCGAAAGCGUGGGUAGCAAACAGGAUUAGAUACCCGAGGAGUC